rnacentral:rRNA from 1 species
GUGUGAUUCAUGACUGGGGUGAAGUCGUAACAAGGUAGCCGUAGGGGAACCUGCGGCUGGAUCACCUCCUUAAUCGAAGACA